AAGGCUCCAGCUUGCUGGAGUGCUCGAGUGGCGAACGGGUGAGUAACACGUGGGCAAUCUGCCCUGCACUCUGGGAUAAGCCUGGGAAACUGGGUCUAAUACCGGAUAGGACCUUUCUCCUCAUGGGGUUUGGUGGAAAGUUUUUCGGUGCAGGAUGAGCCCGCGGCCUAUCAGCUUGUUGGUGGGGUAAUGGCCUACCAAGGCGACGACGGGUAGCCGGCCUGAGAGGGUGAUCGGCCACAUUGGGACUGAGAUACGGCCCAGACUCCUACGGGAGGCAGCAGUGGGGAAUAUUGCACAAUGGGCGAAAGCCUGAUGCAGCGACGCCGCGUGAGGGAUGACGGCCUUCGGGUCGUAAACCUCUUUCAGUAGGGACGAAGCGCAAGUGACGGUACCUGCAGAAGAAGCACCGGCUAACUACGUGCCAGCAGCCGCGGUAAUACGUAGGGUGCGAGCGUUGUCCGGAAUUACUGGGCGUAAAGAGCUCGUAGGCGGUUUGUCACGUCGUCUGUGAAAUCCUAGGGCUUAACCCUGGACGUGCAGGCGAUACGGGCUGACUUGAGUACUACAGGGGAGACUGGAAUUUCUGGUGUAGCGGUGGAAUGCACAGAUAUCAGGAAGAACACCGAUGGCGAAGGCAGGUCUCUGGGUAGUAACUGACGCUGAGGAGCGAAAGCAUGGG
rnacentral:rRNA from 1 species